AUUGAACGCUGGCGGCAGGCUUAACACAUGCAAGCCGAGCGGAGAUGAGGUGCUUGCACCUUAUCUUAGCGGCGGACGGGUGAGUAAUGCUUAGGAAUCUGCCUAUUAGUGGGGGACAACAUUCCGAAAGGAAUGCUAAUACCGCAUACGUCCUACGGGAGAAAGCAGGGGAUCUUCGGACCUUGCGCUAAUAGAUGAGCCUAAGUCGGAUUAGCUAGUUGGUGGGGUAAAGGCCUACCAAGGCGACGAUCUGUAGCGGGUCUGAGAGGAUGAUCCGCCACACUUGGACUGAGACACGGCCCAGACUCCGACGGGAGGCAGCAGUGGGGAAUAUUGGACAAUGGGGGGAACCCUGAUCCAGCCAUGCCGCGUGUGUGAAGAAGGCCUUAUGGUUGUAAAGCACUUUAAGCGAGGAGGAGGCUACUGAGACUAAUACUCUUGGAUAGUGGACGUUACUCGCAGAAUAAGCACCGGCUAACUCUGUGCCAGCAGCCGCGGUAACAC
rnacentral:rRNA from 1 species